CAUCAUGCUGGUCAAAUUCCAGUUCAAUAUUAUUUAAUAAAUUGUAUCAUGUUUCUUUUGUUUUACAACCAUGAGCCCGGCAAUACGGAACCUUCAAGUGAAUGCAACUUCUAUAAAUACGACAAAUGUCGCCAAGUGCACACUAUUUUACCGCGAACAGUUACAACAUGUUAAGGAUAGCCUUGUGUUUGUGUGUGUUACGUGCGGCCGCUAUUAUUGUGACUGAUGCACCGCCAAGUACAGAAUAUAAUUAUUGGUACGAUAUAGCAGAUCCAAGAACGGGUGAUGCCAAACUUCAUAAGGAAAUAAGACAGGGAGCUUUUAUAAGGGACUCCUACUCUUUAAUAGACCCAGCUCGCAAACGUACGGUUGACACCAGGAACAGUUUCAAGGCUAUUAUAAGAACAGUAGUACAUUCACCAUACAUUUCGCUUAAGUCAUAUAGCCCGUUUAAUUCUGCACAUCGAGUGCCACGUCCAGAAUUUCACCAGGCACCAGCGACGAAUAAAAAUUUGAUACAACACGAGCCUGUCCUUUUCACACCGGGGAAUAAAACUCAAAUAGAUAGACCUACUUUUAACAAGGGGGAGUUGUUUUUGCCAAAUUAUAUGCAUCAUUAGGAAUUAUAAAAUGUGUGUACAGUGAGAUAACAAUACUAUUAUUAACAGUUUUUAUUACUUUUUGGAUGAAUAAUAAUUUAAAUUUCUUAAAUAUAGUUAAACAUUCACUUAAGAUUUAAGGUCAUUGAAUGCCAGCUCGUUAUACUUAAAUAUAAAAGACGGGAUGGAUUGGUAAUUAGAAAAAUUAAUUGGCCGGUUUUGACAUAAACGUAUUUCUGAUUAUUUGUGUAGUGAAAAGAGGUUUUAGCUAGAUUGUGAUUCCAAAAAUUACUAUAUUAAAUAAUAUCAAUUGCAA